rnacentral:rRNA from 1 species
CAGCAGUAGGGAAUCUUCCACAAUGGGCGAAAGCCUGAUGGAGCAACGCCGCGUGUGUGAUGAAGGGUUUCGGCUCGUAAAACACUGUUGUAAGAGAAGAAUGACAUUGAGAGUAACUGUUCAAUGUGUGACGGUAUCUUACCAGAAAGGAACGGCUAAAUACGUGCCAG